rnacentral:tRNA from 1 species
GCCUUCGUGGUGUAGUGGUCAGCACGCUCGACGUGUAUUCGUGAAGUCCGUGGUUCGAGUCUCGGCGAGGGUG